UACGAACCGUCCAAACGUUAUUCGGAUUCAUUGGGCUUAAAGGGUACGUAGGCGGGCGCUAUCAGUCGGGUGUGAAAGCCCUCGGCUCAACCGAGGAACUGCGCCCGAUACUGUAGUGCUUGAGGGAGACAGAGGUAAGCGGAACUGAUGGUGGAGCGGUGAAAUGCGUUGAUAUCAUCAGGAACACCGGUGGCGAAGGCGGCAUCCUGGACCAAUUCUGACGCUGAGGAGCGAAAGCCAGGGGAGCAAACGGG
rnacentral:rRNA from 1 species